CCUACGGGGGGCAGCAGUGAGGAAUAUUGGUCAAUGGGCUUACGCCUGAACCAGCCAAGUCGCGUGAGGGAAGACUGCCCUAUGGGUUGUAAACCUCUUUUGUCAGGGAGCAAUUGGCGCUACGUGUAGCGUUAUCGAGAGUACCUGAAGAAAAAGCAUCGGCUAACUCCGUGCCAGCAGCCGCGGUAAUACGGAGGAUGCGAGCGUUAUCCGGUUUUAUUGGGUUAAAAGGGUGCGUAGGCGGAAUGCCAAGUCAGCGGUAAAAUCGCGGGGCUCAACCUCGCUCCGCCGUUGAAACUGUCGGUCUUGAGUGGGCGAGAGGUAUGCGGAAUGCGUGGUGUAGCGGUGAAAUGCAUAGAUAUCACGAAGAACUCCGAUUGCGAAGGCAGCAUACCGGCGCCCAACUGACGCUGAAGCACGAAAGCGUGGGUAUCGAACAGGAUUAGAUACCCUGGUAGUC
rnacentral:rRNA from 1 species